UCGAUCAAUAGAGCCGAUGAGAGCAUCACUCAUCAUGGACUGUAUCACCUUCAGUAAUUUUUCACAGUUCUUUCUCUGUGUAAUGACAAGCUUGAGUACACAUCAUGGUGUUCGUAAUUGUUGGCCACAGGGGUGGACUUCCUCUUCAAAUUUAGCAUGUAGCAUAUUCAAAGCAAUAUCAAGUCAUACCACACUAAGCUCUUUAUUACCAGAGAUUUUUGGACAGAAGCACAUAAUCUAGAUUUUCUGAAUCAAUAGGCAGAUGGUAGCUACUUUUUUUUUCUCUUUUUUUUUUUUUUUUCCUAGUAUUUUUUCCAACUUGUACAUUUUAAAUUUACAUAACUUGGUUUCACACAUCCGAGGAAGAAACACUGACAUAAAGCUAAUUUUAUCUUCGAUGCAUUUACAAGUAUUUCUCUUUUUUCCCUGACACGUCUCUGUCUAGACUUCUGCCAGAAAGCAGGAACUUUAAUUUUCUCUUUUGCUGAUGUAAAUACCUUUUGACAUUGUGCAGAGAACAGCACGACUCUCACUUUCUCAUGAGGAUGUUGGACCCAUCCACUCCACCACUGAAACCCAUUGGGUUUCCAUCGGCCAAGGUAAGCAGCUCUGACACCUUCCCACUACACACCAUGUUACUGUGCAUAUCACUGAAAUACAUCAUCAUUAUGAGUCCAGGCUGGUUGAAUUUUUUUAUUAUUUUUUUCAGUUUAGUUCACUGAAACAAUGAAGGUUAGCUGCAUCCGACUCUUCAUCUGACUUCAUGUUUUACUAGUCAUUAUUUUUGCAAAGGCCUUAAUUCCCCUCUAAAACAUUUUAAUUAAACUAGCAAUUUCUCAGUGCUGUACUUCGUGAGCAGGUUUUGCAGCAACUUCAAAGAGACACAGAUGUUUACUGAAUUUGGUGUGGUGAUAUUUGAGGCUGCCUACUGGCAAAGAAAAAUUCAUAAACAUCUCUAGGAAACUUUGCUGUGGUAAUGACAACAUUUCCUUCUUAUAUUUUAGCAAGUCUAAUACUUCCCAAUCUCUACAGACAUAUUUCAUAGACACAGGCAUAAGCAUUGUUAUCUACUCACAGUCUGAGCCUUCCCAUAUACUCUGCUGUGGGGUAAAUACCUCUCAGUGCUGAUACCUUGAGCUUUGGCAAAAGGUACAAGAGGCCAUGGGUUAGUUUGCUCUCUGUGUGUCAUCUUACAGAGUAUCAGUAAACUGGGAGUAAGGAAACCAAAGUUCAAUUUCUGCUUGAUUUUCCAUAGCCAUCCAGUGUGAUUUUUGAGUGACCAUUUAGUUUUGUGUGCCUCAGUUCCUACUGGUAAAGGGAUGAAAACAUAUCCUGACUUUUAAUCAACUUAUCUCCUGGUGGCAGGGUCUAUCUCCUAGUGUGCCAAGGGCUUCCUAGCUUUAGAGGGUCCUGGGGUUUUUAAAGCUCUGUUCUAGUAAAAUUAAGAAAUACUAACAAUUUAUUUUGGAGGAGUUUCUCCUUACUUGUGGCAGGUGAGCCUGGAGCUAGUCUGACGAUCUCAAUUUGGUACCAUACCUGUCUGUGGGUAACCAGGCAGGCAGUGGUCCUCUCCAAAUUGAGAUGAUGGGACUAGGGAACAUAGCCAUGGCAGAUCGUAUCUAAAAUGUAGGCCAGGGUCCAGGUAUCUUUUGUGGUUUAGACAGGUAGCUCUGGCCAGAAAAUAUAUGGCCUGUCCAGCUGGAUCACCAGUGAGGCUGAUCUCCAUGUGCUAGAACCUACAACCGGCGGUGAGGCUCGUGCUCCUGUUGAAUCUUUCUGUGCAGGGAAGAAAACCAAGUUUCUUUCCCUGGACAUUUUUCACUCUCAUAUCUUUUUGAAGGAGAAAUAAUAGAAGUACUUGGAAACAGCAUGUGCAUUUCCACUGUGAGCAUCGCCAAGGACCAGCACAGAAAGCCAGCAUGGAGUAUGGCAUGACACGUCAUGUAGCUGCUUUAAUAUACAGUGUAAUUACAGUGACAUAUUUCUGCCUCUUGAAGCAUCAGGGACUGAAGUGAUUGCCCUGAAGGAGUUAGAAUGUUAGCGGGAGAAUUUCGAUCAACUCGAGGUUGGGAAGUGCAGCACUUCCUCUGCAUUGGAUUAAAAGUGAUCAGCAUGGCCAAAGGGGAUCCUGUGAGAGACAGGUAAGCAAGCUGAAAGGAAAUUAGAAAUAUUAAAGAAAUGAAGCUGGACUGGAUAGAACAAGUUUUACAAUUCCCUAUUCCUCUUUGAUUUGAUAGCAUUAGGCGUACUGAAGGGUAGAUUGCGCAGACUUAGGCAUGACAGCAAGAUACUUUUCCGCACGAAUAAACCCCCUGAAAUUAAUUGGACUGCUCACAAAAGUGCCUGGGAAUGUAAACUAGACUUGGGCAUUUCAGCCCUCAGAUCUGAUAUUUCUUCAGCAAUGCAAGGGCCAGGCUGCAUGGUGAACAGCAACAGCUUAGCUAGAAACGUGAAUUCAAACCUCUGGCAGUGAGAUCAAUGUCUCUGUGGAUGUAUUCUUGGAGAAGAGUAUCGCAUUUCAGCUGAAUUCACCUUCGUAAGACACAGAUUAAAAUUAAACCGAAACAAACUAUUCCUGAAAUGAAAGCAGGGCUCAGAGACAGUUUGCUUACCACAAACUGUUGUGCGUUUGCUGUACCAUGGAAUUGCUCACGUGUAUGCUUUUAGCUGGUGACAAAUGCACUCCGUGAGGAUUAGCCUGGCCUGCAAAGAGGGAAGCUUAAAUUUAGGUUGCUCUCCCACGUGUGCUGUGGGAUAAGAACAGAGAGCCAGGCAAUCCCUUGUGUGCAGGUAUGCCUGAGCAUUCAAGAUGUCCACAGAGGCAUUUGCUUAAGCCGAAAUGCUUGUUCACCAAUUGCAAAUGGGCUCGUAAAAAACCAAACCUUAUGUAACAGCCCUCUUGGAUGUUGGUCUGGAAAGAAAUAGCUUUGUUGUUGUUUCAAAGAAUUAGUGAGCCAACAAUGCAAAGCUUUGGAGUUGGUUACUGGGUUUUUACUGCAGUCUCUACGAACUAUACAAAGUCUGAAGACAUUGUACGUACAGUACAUCUUUAAUAAGAAGGGAGCUCACAGUCUACCAAACUCUGCCAAAUAAACUUUUAAUACAUACUGUACUUCACUCAGUAGUUGUCCAUCUCUUCUUCAUGGAAUAUCUAACAGCUCUAAAAAUAUUUUCUUGGAAGAGAAUAGAAUUAUCAUCGUUAUAUAUCAAUCAAGUAUGGUUAAUGAAGCAAAGCCAGCAUGCUAGUAUUGCACAAGGGGAAAAGCCUCCAGAACACAAAGUGGAACAACAAAUGCCCUCAAAAUUCUGCCGAAGGGAACAGGAAGCUCCAGAUGCCGCAUCGGUAGGAUUCGUGUAGCUCUUAGGCGUCCUUGUACCGCAGCAGGUUUGCUUUGCCUCUUCACUGCCACAUUUCUCUCUGAAACAGGUAGGGAUCUUCCAGACCA